rnacentral:rRNA from 1 species
AUUGAACGCUGGCGGCAGGCCUAACACAUGCAAGUCGAACGAGUGGCGGACGGGUGAGUAAUGUCUGGGAAACUGCCCGAUGGAGGGGGAUAACUCCUGGAAACGGUAGCUAAUACCGCAUACCAUCGGAUGUGCCCAGAUGGGAUUAGCGUGUAGGUGAGGUAACGGCUCACCUAGGCGACGAUCCCUAGCUGGUCUGAGAGGAUGAACAGACACACUGGGACUGAGACACGGCCCAGACUCCUACGGGAGGCAGCAGUGGGGAAUAUUGCACAAUGGGCGCAAGCCUGAUGCAGCCAUGCCGCGUGUAUGAAGAAGGCCUUCGGGUUGUAAAGUACUGUCAGCGGGGAGGCGUUACCCACAGAAGAAGCACCGGCUAACUCCGUGCCAGCCGCCGCGGUAAUAC